GAUUAUACAGCACUUACUGACAGUUGGGAGUAGGAAGCAGAGCACCUGGCUCUUGUGUG
rnacentral:misc_RNA from 1 species